rnacentral:rRNA from 1 species
UACGGAGGGUGCAAGCGUUGUUCGGAAUUAUUGGGCGUAAAGCGCGUGUAGGCGGCUACCUAAGUCUGGUGUGAAAGCCCGGGGCUUAACCCCGGAAGUGCACUGGAUACUGGGUAGCUAGAGGACGGGAGAGGAGAGCGGAAUUCAUGGUGUAGGGGUGAAAUCCGUAGAUAUCAUGAGGAACAUCCGUGGCGAAGGCGGCUCUCUGGCCCGUAACUGACGCUGAGACGCGAAAGCGUGGGGAGCAAAC